rnacentral:rRNA from 1 species
UUUAACUGAGCGUUCAGUUACUUGACGUAGACCCGAAACCGGGCGACCUACCCAUGAGCAGGAUGAAGCGAAAGUAAAAUUUCGUGGAGGUCCGAACCCACGAGCGUUGAAAAGCUCGGGGAUGACUUGUGGGUAGCGGUGAAAUUCCAAUCGAGCCCGGAGAUAGCUGGUUCUCCCCGAAAUAGCUUUAGGGCUAGCCUCAAGGUGAGAGAUACGGAGGUAGAGCACUGAAUGUCCUAGGGGGUAUUGCACCUACCGAAGACUAUCAAACUCCGAAUGCCGUCAUCUUAUACUUGGGAGUCAGACUGUGGGUGAUAAGAUUCAUAGUCGAAAGGGCAACAGCCCAGAUCGUCAGCUAAGGUCCCUAAAUGUAAGUUAAGUGGUAAAGGAUGUGGGAUUGCACAGACAACCAGGAUGUUGGCUUAGAAGCAGCCACUCAUUCAAAGAGUGCGUAAUAGCUCACUGGUCGAGUGAUCCUGCGCCGAAGAUUUCCGGGGCUAAAACUUACUACCGAAGCUACGGCAUCAGUAAUGAUGGGUAGGGGAGCUUCCCAUACGGGUUGAAGCAUGACCGUAAGGACAUGUGGACAGUAUGGGAGUGAGAAUGUUGGCAUGAGUAGCGAGAUGUGGGUGAGAAUCCCACAGGCCGUAAACCCAAGGUUUCCAGGGGAAGGUUCGUCCGCCCUGGGUUAGUCGGGACCUAAGCUGAGGCCGAAAGGCGUAGGUGAUGGACAACAGGUUGAUAUUCCUGUACUACCGAUAACCGUUUGAGAGAAGGGAUGACACAGUAGGAU